GAAAAAGUCUGUGAAGUCACGGUUAGCAAGUCGGGAAGUAGCACUAAUCCAGAAAGAAAUGAAAACUCAAAGAGACAAUGCGACUAUUAGACGGUUGAAGAUGUAUAAAUCGGGAAAACCUGUCAGGUUUUGGAGAGGAAUGUACAAUCAUCAUGAUCACACUGUGCUGCCUCGGCAAUCAACACAAUCUUGUCUUGCAAGCAUCAUAAGAGAAACAGAGAAUUGACGGAACCUAGAGCAUGUUAAUAUGUACAACACAGACAGAAUCAUGGUAUAAAUAGAAUAAUAAAUCAACAGACAAGCAGACAGAAACAGAAGUGUAUUGCAAGACAAGAGUAACAAAAUAAUAAAUUUUA